rnacentral:rRNA from 1 species
GAUGAACGCUGGCGGCGUGCCUAAUACAUGCAAGUCGAGCGAACGGACGAGAAGCUUGCUUCUCUGAUGUUAGCGGCGGACGGGUGAGUAACACGUGGAUAACCUACCUAUAAGACUGGGAUAACUUCGGGAAACCGUAGCUAAUACCGGAUAAUAUUUUGAACCGCAUGGUUCAAAAGUGAAAGACGGUCUUGCUGUCACUUAUAGAUGGAUCCGCGCUGCAUUAGCUAGUUGGUAAGGUAACGGCUUACCAAGGCAACGAUGCAUAGCCGACCUGAGAGGGUGAUCGGCCACACUGGAACUGAGACACGGUCCAGACUACUACGAGAGGCAGCAGUAGGGAAUCUUGCGCAAUGGGCGAAAGCCUGACGGAGCAACGCCGCGUGAGUGAUGAAGGUCUUCGGAUCGUAAAACUCUGUUAUUAGGGAAGAACAUAUGUGUAAGUAACUGUGCACAUCUUGACGGUACCUAAUCAGAAAGCCACGGCUAACUACGUG